rfam:Hordeum vulgare subsp. vulgare, WGS project CAJW01000000 data, contig: morex_contig_55088
UUUAUAUUACCUCCGCCCCAAAUUACUUGUCGUAGAUUUGUCUAGAUACGGAUGUAUCUAGACACAUUUUAGUGUUGAUACAUCCAUAUCUAGACAAAUCCACGACAAGUAAUUUGGGACGGAGGUAAUAUAAA